rnacentral:rRNA from 1 species
CCUACGGGAGGCUGCAGUGGGGAAUAUUGGACAAUGGGCGAAAGCCUGAUCCAGCCAUGCCGCGUGUGUGAAGAAGGCCUUCGGGUUGUAAAGCACUUUCAGUGGGGAAGAAAGCCUUGGGGCUAAUACCCUCGAGGAAGGACAUCACCCACAGAAGAAGCACCGGCUAACUCCGUGCCAGCAGCCGCGGUAAUACGGAGGGUGCGAGCGUUAAUCGGAAUUACUGGGCGUAAAGCGCGCGUAGGCGGUCUGAUAAGCCGGUUGUGAAAGCCCCGGGCUCAACCUGGGAACGGCAUCCGGAACUGUCAGGCUAGAGUGAAGGAGAGGAAGGUAGAAUUCCCGGUGUAGCGGGGAAAUGCGUAGAGAUCGGGAGGAAUACCAGUGGCGAAGGCGGCCUUCUGGACUGACACUGACGCUGAGGUGCGAAAGCGUGGGUAGCAAACAGGAUUAGAUACCCCAGUAGUC